rnacentral:rRNA from 1 species
CAGGAUGAACGCUGGCGGCGUGCCUAAUACAUGCAAGUCGAGCGAACAGAUAAGGAGCUUGCUCCUUGACGUUAGCGGCGGACGGGUGAGUAACACGUGGGUAACCUGCCUAUAAGACUGGAAUAACUCCGGGAAACCGGGGCUAAUGCCGGAUAAUAUUUAGAACCGCAUGGUUCUAAAGUGAAAGAUGGUUUUGCUAUCACUUAUAGAUGGACCCGCGCCGUAUUAGCUAGUUGGUGGGGUAAUGGCUUACCAAGGCAACGAUACGUAGCCGACCUGAGAGGGUGAUCGGCCACACUGGAACUGAGACACGGUCCAGACUCCUACGGGAGGCAGCAGUAGGGAAUCUUCCGCAAUGGGCGAAAGCCUGACGGAGCAACGCCGCGUGAGUGAUGAAGGUCUUCGGAUCGUAAAACUCUGUUAUUAGGGAAGAACAAAUGUGUAAGUAACUGUGCACGUCUUGACGGUACCUAAUCAGAAAGCCACGGCUAACUACGUGCCAGCAGCCGC